AUUGACCGCUGGCGGCAGGCCUAACACAUGCAAGCCGAGCGAGCGGCCGCCGGGUCAGUAAUGUAUGUGGACUGCCCGAUCGAGGGGGCUAACUACUGGAAACGGUAGCUAAUACCGCCUACUAUCGGAUCACCCAUACGGGAUCAGCUAGUAGGUGAGGUAAUGGCUCACCUAGGCGACGAUCCCUAGCUGUGCUGAGGGGAUGAUCAGCCACACGGAAAGUUAGGGACGGUCCAGACUCCGACGGAGGAAGCAGUGGGGAAUAUUGUACGAUGGGCGCAGGCCGAAGACAGCCAUGCCGCGUGUAUGAAGAAGGCCUUCGGGUUGUAGAGUAAUUGCAGCGAGGAGGCGUUACUCGCAGAAGAAGCACCGGCUAACUCCGUGCCAGCAGCCGCGGUAAUUC
rnacentral:rRNA from 1 species